rnacentral:rRNA from 1 species
UACGUAGGGUGCAAGCGUUAUCCGGAAUUAUUGGGCGUAAAGAGCUCGUAGGCGGUUUGUCGCGUCUGGUGUGAAAGUCCAUCGCUUAACGGUGGAUCUGCGCCGGGUACGGGCAGGCUGGAGUGCAGUAGGGGAGACUGGAAUUCCCGGUGUAACGGUGGAAUGUGUAGAUAUCGGGAAGAACACCAAUGGCGAAGGCAGGUCUCUGGGCUGUUACUGACGCUGAGGAGCGAAAGCGUGGGGAGCGAAC